rnacentral:lncRNA from 1 species
AAGUCUCCAACUUGUUCAUCGCCGGAGAGAGAUUUGGACAGACACACAGAUGCAUCACCGCCAAUGUCAACCGUGGAAUCACCUCCCAAGAUUAGCAGUGCUUUUCUGAAACCUGUUUCUGCCCCUCCCCCACCGCCGCCGCCGCGGCCUCCACCACCGCCACCACCGCCCCCACCACCACCACCUCCUCCUCCUCCUCCGCCUGCACUGAAGAAUGUUGAAAAUCCGAUGAUUCCUUCCCCACCGAUUCGUCGGCCGGUGCCGCUGAAGCCGCCAGCACUGACAACACCUUCAAGGCCUUUUGUAUUCUUCCAAAACCCAUCA